rnacentral:rRNA from 1 species
GUGCCAGCAGCCGCGGUAAUACGUAGGGCGCAAGCGUUGUCCGGAAUUAUUGGGCGUAAAGAGCUUGUAGGUGGCUUGUCGCGUCUGCCGUGAAAACCCGAGGCUCAACCUCGGGCGUGCGGUGGGUACGGGCAGGCUAGAGUGUGGUAGGGGAGACUGGAACUCCUGGUGUAGCGGUGAAAUGCGCAGAUAUCAGGAAGAACACCGAUGGCGAAGGCAGGUCUCUGGGCCAUUACUGAUACUGAGAAGCGAAAGCAUGGGUAGCGAACAGGAUUAGAUACCCUGGUAGUCCAUGCCGUAAACGUUGGGCACUAGGUGUGGGGGACAUCCACGUUUUCCGCGCCGUAGCUAACGCAUUAAGUGCCCCGCCUGGGGAGUACGGCCGCAAGGCUAAAACUCAAAGGAAUUGACGGGGGCCCGCACAAGCGGCGGAGCAUGCUGAUUAAUUCGAUGCAACGCGAAGAACCUUACCAAGGCUUGACAUGCACUGGACGGCUGCAGAGAUGUGGCUUUCUUUGGACUGGUGCACAGGUGGUGCAUGGUUGUCGUCAGCUCGUGUCGUGAGAUGUUGGGUUAAGUCCCGCAACGAGCGCAACCCUCGUUCUAUGUUGCCAGCACGUGAUGGUGGGGACUCAUAGGAGACUGCCGGGGUCAACUCGGAGGAAGGUGGGGACGACGUCAAAUCAUCAUGCCCCUUAUGUCUUGGGCUUCAAGCAUGCUACAAUGGUCGGUACAAUGGGUUGCGAAACUGUGAGGUGGAGCGAAUCCCAAAAAGCCGGCCUCAGUUCGGAUUGGGGUCUGCAACUCGACCCCAUGAAGUCGGAGUCGCUAGUAAUCGCAGAUCAGCAACGCUGCGGUGAAUACGUUCCCGGGCCUUGUACACACCGCCCGU